GGGUGCGAUCAUACCAGCGUUAAUGCACCGCAUCCCAUCAGAACUCCGCAGUCAAGCGCGCUUGGGCCAUGGUAGUACUGGGAUGGGUGACCUCCCAGGAAGUCCCGGUGUUGCACCCU
rfam:Picea glauca, whole genome shotgun sequence.